AGUGAACCUUCUUGGGGUGAUUUCCAACAAUGGUCAAUGUCAUGAAACAUCUCCUUGACUUCCCAUAUGCUGGACGAACUUUUGGGUUGCAGGUGACUGACUAUGUUCCAUCUCAGGAGUUCAAUUUUUGUGCUCUUUCCUUGGAAGAACAAUUCGAGCUUGGUUACAUUAUAUCUCCUGCAGUUUACAUCUGAAACAGUCAAUCGAUGUCAGUCUAUCAGAAUCGUGUUGCUGAUCCAUCUGGAUGAUUUAUUCAUCAAUCUGCUCAUCCUGUCAUUCACCAAGUCUGUUUGUUCAGAGUCCCUGCUACACACAGCAACAUCACCUUCCAUCCCACAUUUAUAUCUGGAGUAAGAUUCAGUCUCCCGCAUGUGCUUGCCAACUAUAUUUGAACCCAGAAAAGGUUUCAGUUUCUUCAACUAGCAGACAACUCAAUCUCCACCUGAAGAACUUCACAACAUAGGCAUUGCCAUAUAUAUAUAUAUAUAUAUAUUUUUUUUUUUAAUUCAAUAAGAUGAGAAUGGUUUAUGGUUUUGCUCUGAACAUUUUGUUUUUGGGCCUUUCUCCUUCACUUUAAGGUUUAUCCCAGCCCAAGUCCACUAGUAUUUGAUUAAUCUUUGUGCCUCUGAACUAAUUAUCUUAGAAAUAUUUAAACAAAUCAAGAAUCAAUGCCAAAA